GUUAAGCGACUAAGCGUACACGGUGGAUGCCCUGGCAGUCAGAGGCGAUGAAGGACGUGCUAAUCUGCGAUAAGCGUCGGUAAGGUGAUAUGAACCGUUAUAACCGGCGAUUUCCGAAUGGGGAAACCCAGUGUGUUUCGACACACUAUCAUUAACUGAAUCCAUAGGUUAAUGAGGCGAACCGGGGGAACUGAAACAUCUAAGUACCCCGAGGAAAAGAAAUCAACCGAGAUUCCCCCAGUAGCGGCGAGCGAACGGGGAGCAGCCCAGAGCCUGAAUCAGUGUGUGUGUUAGUGGAAGCGUCUGGAAAGGCGCGCGAUACAGGGUGACAGCCCCGUACACA
rnacentral:rRNA from 1 species